UUAGAUUCAGACUACAAAUGAGAACAAAUGCAAUCGAGAAAAACAGUUUUUAAAGGUUUUGUGCAUAAAAAGUGUUCUCAUAGGUUCACAAAAUUACAGUUGAACCACUGAUGUUACAUGGACUAUUUUAAUGAUUUCUUUACUACCUUUCUGGGCCUUGAACCUGGUAGCUCCAUUGCUGCCUAUGCAGGGUUAGAAAGCUCUUGGAUUUUAUCAGUAUCUUAAUUUGUAUUCCGAAGAUGAACAAUGGCCUUUCGGGUUUGGAACGACAUGAGGAUAUCUUUCUAAAAGGACAACUAGAAACUCCAAAAGGACACCAAAUUACCAAAUGAUAUAAGGAGCCCAUAUAAGCAAAGAAGCCAAGUUGCCAUACCAAACAGGACCACAUGGAGAUGCCAAAAAAAAAAAAAAAAAACUUAACCAAUCGCCUGCUGAAUGCAUACUGUAUACUGUAUCUACUACAGUACACGGAUCCGUUCCAUAUAUCUACACAGCAACAUAAACAUGACAAGUGAAAACAUUAUCAUGAAUGUGUGUGGAAACAACAUGAAUGUCUGUCUGUGCAUCAAUACAAUGUGUGAUCAGUGUGUCAAGAGCACUCAUACACACAGUAAGCAUGCGUGAGUCUGUUAUAAUAAUGUAUGACUCCUUUAGGCCACUGCAAUUGUCUUUACCCUGAUUCCAGUCUUCAUCCAUCAAAGCUUUAGUAGCGAGACUGGUUAUGCAGUUGAGACAGAGCUGGUGUUUUAAAGCAAAACACACUAAAAUGAAAAAUACACUUAAAGUAGUCUCUGUUCUCUCUGCAAUCUGAUGUAAUCAGCCUG